GAAAUGCGAUAAGUAAUGUGAAUUGCAGAAUUCAGUGAAUCAUCGAAUCUUUGAACGCACAUUGCGCCCGCCAGUAUUCUGGCGGGCAUGCCUGUUCGAGCGUCAUUUCAACCAUCAAGCCCCCGGCUUGUGUUGGGGACCUGCGGCUGCCCGCAGGCCCUGAAAAACAGUGGCGGGCUCGCUGUCACACCGAGCGUAGUAGCAUACAUUCUCGCUCAGGGCGUGCUGCGGGUUCCGGCCGUUAAACGACCUUCAUAACCCAGGGUUGACCUCGGAUCAGGUAGGAAGACCCGCUGAACUUAAGC
rnacentral:misc_RNA from 1 species